CAAGCUAGAAUUUUGGUGGUGACGGAGGAGGAUAGACAGGUGUUCAGAUGAGAAAAGAUACUGGUGUAACGGCUUAUGAAACAGGAUGGUUAAAAUACAAGCCUCCGUUUACCCAUACGUUCCUAAAUAAAGAGGGCAACGUUGCGUGUCCAUAAAAACGAUCAGCGUUUGUUUUCUCCUAGCCCGGCCGGACAAAAGGAAAAAAUCUAUUAUCAGGCCGGACCAUAGUUCUAGCUAGCGAAAUUUUGUCCGGCUUGCCAAUCCGGGUGCAUGGGAGGCGGCACGGCGCACGCACACUCGGGAUCUUCCUAGCCGUGGAAGAACACCGGUGGGUUGGGUGGGAGCGCAAGGGGGGUGUAGAGCAGCGAGCAGCAAAGGGGGUUAGGCGAGCGGAGCGGAGAGGAGUUGGCGGCGAGGCGGGGGGCGCGGCGGAGGACGAGGCCGAGGCCGCUCUACAGAGCGAAGCCCGCGAGGCCGGGCGGCGGCUAGGCGCUGUGGAUGAGGGAGGAGCAGGAGUUGUAGUGGAAGGCAUGCUGCCGGCUACUGGAAAAGGGCGAGAAGCUGUUCAUGCCGCUCCAGCAGCUGUAGAUGUAGGGGUCCCUGGCGUCCUGACCGCUGAGCGCUCCCAAACGGAAACACUCCAUGUUCAUACUCCUGCUCCGGGUCUUCCGUCAACUAGCGGACCUGCCCUCCAACCACCUGCCCUCCCUCUACUACCACGUCAAACGGUUCAUGCCGGGUUUACGACUCGCCUAAGUCUUUCCCGCUUAGUACCUUUGCCAGGGCUUCGGUUCCCCAGCAAGGUCUUCGGCGUCAGGUUCUGCCCCCAUGGCACUACUAGUAGCCCCGUCUCUAAGAUCUUCCGCUUCAGCCUCAGCCUCACCUCUAUCUAUACCUGCACUGUCCAUGUCUCUCUCCCUAGUAGUAGCAGCAUCGUCCUCAGCAUCGUGAUCGGGACUACUAAUGUUCUCCGCACCGUCUCUGUCUUCAGGAUCAGCAUCGUCCUCGGCGUCGAUGUCGGGACUACUACUGUCCUUCCCACCGUCUCUGUCAAACAGCGGACGUGCGUCUUCGUGAUCAGCGAGGGGAGCGUUCUGUGGUGGAGGAGCGCUCCCCAGAGGACGAUUCGCGUUACUACUAGCUAGAGGACGAUUCGCGUUACUACUGGCAAGAGGACAAUCCGCGUUACUACUGGCAAGAGGACAAUCCGCGUUACUACUGGCAAGAGGACAAUCCGCGUUACUACUGGCCAGAGGUCUGAGAGCAUCGGGAAGUUGUACUCGACUUACAGUUUGUUGACUCCUAGUUACCUUGUAUCGACGAGUAUAGCCUCCGACAAGUCAACGAAAUAGUACUUGUUAGACGUCAAUGUUUAAUUUUUACAAUACCACGAACUGUAGUCACUGAUGAAGUUCGAUGUCUACGACGAAACACCUACAGACCUAUGAACAAUCUUGAUAUAAAUGUACUACACCACUUCUCCACGACCAACUAUUUCCCACUUGUGUGUUCAACGAACGACAACGGCAACUAUAACAAACACGACAUAGGGAAUUACUACUACUACCACGACCACUACCUCUACUACUACCACUACGACCACCCCCAACUACUGCGACCACUAGUAAAACGACGUACGUGAGAACAAUACGACUGUUCAUUCCAAGUUUACUAGGUCGACUCCAAGUGACGAAUUCGACAAUUAGUUAUUAUUUUAUAAUUUGAUGAGGCCAGGUACAAAGACGUACGAUCCUAGACUUUUUUCUUACAAAAAAAUCAACUCAGAAACGGGUACUAAAUACAAUAAGUUGGUGUUGUAUAGAAAUGUUUUCACACCAUCGUUGUCUGUAAACCCACAAGAAACAAAAAUCAAGUCCGGAUUUAUUUAAGACUACACUACUAUGUCAGAACUUUCUAUUCACCUUGAAUUUUCAGUCAUGUUAUGGAAAGAUUUGGUAAAUCUUUCGAUAAUACAUGUCUGAUGUAUCGCUACGUUUAUGAGAAUUACACGACUGGUUCAGUUAAAAAUCAUAGAAUCCUAAAACACACCAAAUAUCUCAAGUCGUACAAACCGUCAACUACAAGGUUCAAAUGCCAGUGACAUUCGUACACCAUCGUAGAACCGAACAUUGGUCAAACACCCUAAAGAAAAGAAGUAUAAUACUGAGAACAUGCAGAAAAUUUUUUUUGAAAUGUUGAGAAUUGUAGGAAAGCGUUAUCUUCCACACCAUCCACAAAAGUUAACGUCUGACUUAAUACAGUCGAGGUUCCGGACGAGGGACAUCUACACUAGUGCGCUUACGACUGAAUCUAGUACACCACUACCGCCGCGAUACUUUUCUUGGAUGUGAGGUACUAAAUACAUAUAAAGACUUCACAUUAUUACAUACUGUUGAAACAUCACUACGAGUAAACUACGUGUUGACUUUUAAGACCCUUUCUUGUACGCGAUUAAACCAAACUAACACGAUAUACCCGAUGAAACGAG
rnacentral:rRNA from 1 species